rnacentral:tRNA from 1 species
GGUCCCGUGGUCUAAUGGUGGGCGCUCUGGGCUCUGAAUCCAGACAUCCGAGUUCGAGUCUCAGCGGGACUU